CGUUUUGAUUUUUUUCGUUUUUGUUUCGGUUUGUUUAUUUAGGGUUUUUGUUUUCGUUUCAUUUUUGUUUUGGAUCUAAGUUCUGAUUUCUGACUUUUCCAUUCUUGUUUUUUUUUUCAAAUCUUCCUCUCCUUCAAGCCGUCAAACCUCAAGCCGUCAAACCUCAAGUUGAGGUAGUUCUCCAUCUUCAAAUCUCCUUCAAACCGUAAGAGUUGCAUGAGGUUGAUGACGAAUGUGAUGAUUCAACUAGAUGCCCUCUGGCUGAUCUUGAGGCAUAUUUGAAUGGAACUCGUUCGCGAUUAAUUCAAGGGGAACAUUUUGACGUUCUCAAGUACUGGGAAUCUCAAGCUUCUUCUCUUCCUAUUUUAGCUAAUAUGGCAAGGGAUGUUUUGGCCAUUUCUAUUACAUCGGUGGCCUCUGAAUCUUCUUUUAGUUUGGGUGGUCGUAUUUUGAACAAAUAUAGGGGUAAACUUUUGCCAAAGAAUGUAGAGGCAUUGGUUACCACCCAAAAUUGGUGUCGUGGUUAUCAAGCGGAUGUUGAGGAAGACGUCCUCCUUAUUGGUAAAGAGAUUGAAGCCGAAAGUGCUUCAUCUGCAUAACUGCAUUUCUCAAGUUUUUGUUAAAACAACCAUUGCUCAGUUGAUUUAGUGCUGCAUCCUAAUGGUUUAUGGUUUCCCCAUCGUGAUGUGUCUCAUAAAGUUUUUGAGACAUCAUAUAAGGCGUACUAUAAGGGACCAUAUUGCAAUUGGGCUAUGACUCCACUAAAAGUUCGAGAUGGUGGUAUGCUUUCAAGGUUUGUCUUUUGUAAGGUUGAUGUUUUGGGUUAUAUUUGCUUAGUGUAGUUGCAAUAGUGGUAUUGAUUGUCAUUUAUUAUAAUAACUCAAUUGCCUUUUUGCUUGAUCUUUUAUAUUUAACCUAAGCAAGAGUUCUCAUGGGAUCCAUCAAUAGCUAAGGAAGUUAAGAAGGGGUAGAAAUUGAAAUGUAGUAGGCAUAUUACUGAUAUGGUGUCGAAGGUUUGCACAGAUGCUAAGUAUAAUGCUGACUGGUGCCCUCCUACCAUAAGGGAGCAGAUGAUUCAGAUUAGAUCUAAAGAGGAUUUCUAAGAAAAAUCAAAGCAAUGUUCAAAAAGGCGAAUGGGCAACGGAAACCAAGAAUUUCACCAUCGACAAGAGUCUAUAUCUAGUGAAGAAGUGCAGCUGAAAUUGAGUGACUAUAGUAGUAAAAAGGCUGCAAACCUUGAAUGUGAGACUAGAAUAAAAAAACCGAAGAUGAGUUGUUCCUUAAGGCUGCUAGUGGGUGGAAUGACAAGGGAAGAUUAUUUGGUUUUGGAGCUGCUACUGACUCAUAUUAUGAGAGACCAGGAACUGAAGAAAAGAGGGCAAAAAAAUCAAGAAGAGAGUAUGCAAUGAAGUUGGAGAACAAGUUUAUUGAUCUCGUUACAGAGAAUGUGGAACUAAAGAAAGAGCUUAAUGCAAAAAGAAAGAGCUUAAUGCAACAAAAGAGAGCCUCGUCAAAACCCAAAAAAGUGUUGCCGAAACUCAAAACACUUUGAAGGCCCUUGAACAACAAGUGCAAAUGCUUCUCCAAUCCAACAUAAUCUCAAUCUCUCCUACAUCUACAUCCUCCCCUACUGAUGCAUGAUCAUCAAGUGCAAAGGACAGGGCUCCUUUUUGUAUAUUGCAUGUGAAGUCUCUAAUUAUUACAUUAGACAUGUUUCUAAUAUAGGUCUCAAGGUAGCAUAUUUUGGACCAAGUAUUAUGGCUUUAGGUAUUAAUUAACUCUAAAAGGGUGCUUUUGUAUAUUGCUACUAACUCUAGCCUAUUAGUUGUUCCCUUGUAAGUUACACUAUGAACUUGGCCUUUUUUAUAUGAAGUACAUGUGUAAUGACUUGACUUUGGUUUAA